GCUGGGUGUGGUGGCACACACCUGUAGUCCCAGCUACUCAGGAGGCUGAGGCAAGAGAAUCACUUGAACCCGGGAGGCAGAGGUUGCAGUGAGCUGAGAUCGAGCCACCACACUCCAGCCUUGGCGACAGAGUGAGACUNNNNNNNNNNUGUCGCCCAGGCUGGAGUGCAGUGGUGCGAUCUCGGCUCACUGCAACCUCCCCCUCCCAGGUUCAAGCAAUUCUCCUGCCUCAG
rnacentral:SRP_RNA from 1 species